rnacentral:rRNA from 1 species
UACGUAGGUGACUAGCGUUGUCCGGAUUUACUGGGCGUAAAGAGCGCGCAGGCGGUCGUUCAAGUCGAGUGUGAAAGCCCCCGGCUCAACUGGGGAGGGUCAUUCGAUACUGAUCGACUCGAAGGCAGGAGAGGGAAGCGGAAUUCCGCGUGUAGCAGUGAAAUGCGUAGAUAUGCGGAGGAACACCAGUGGCGAAGGCGACUCACUGGACAUGUAUUGACGCUGAGGUGCGAAAGCGCGGGGAGCAAACAGG